AURAAGAACGUARCGAAAUGCGAUACUUGGUGUGAAUUGCAGAAUCCCGUGAACCAUCGAGUCUUUGAACGCAAGUUGCGCCUGAAGCCAUUAGGCUAAAGGCACGUCUGCCUGGGCGUCACGC
rnacentral:rRNA from 1 species